AAGACCUUGCGCUUUUGGAGCGGCCGAUGCCUGAUUAGCUAGUUGGUGAGGUAAUGGCUCACCAAGGCGUCGAUCAGUAGUUGGUCUGAGAGGACGACCAGCCACACUGGGACUGAGACACGGCCCAGACUCCUACGGGAGGCAGCAGUGGGGAAUUUUGGACAAUGGGCGCAAGCCUGAUCCAGCCAUGCCGCGUGAGUGAAGAAGGCCUUCGGGUUGUAAAGCUCUUUCAGUCGAGAAGAAAAGGUCGCGGCUAAUAAUCGUGAUCCAUGACGGUAUCGACAGAAGAAGCACCGGCUAACUACGUGCCAGCAGCCGCGGUAAUACGUAGGGUGCGAGCGUUAAUCGGAAUUACUGGGCGUAAAGGGUGCGCAGGCGGCUUUGUAAGUCAGAUGUGAAAUCCCCGGGCUUAACCUGGGAACU
rnacentral:rRNA from 1 species